GCAGUCGACGGUACAUGAGUAGCAAUACUUGAUGACGAGUGGCGCACGGGUGCGUAACACGUAUGCAACCUUCCUUCAACUGGAGAAUAGCCCGAAGAAAUUCGGAUUAACUCUCCAUAGUAAAACAGAACGGCAUCGUUUUGUUUUUAAACCUCCGGGGGUUGAAGAUGGGCAUGCGUUGCAUUAGCUAGUUGGCGGGGUAAAAGCCCACCAAGGCUACGAUGCAUAGGGGAUCUGAGAGGACCAACCCCCACACUGGUACUGAGACACGGACCAGACUCCUACGGGAGGCAGCAGUAAGGAAUAUUGGACAAUGGGGGCAACCCUGAUCCAGCCAUGCCGCGUGAAGGAUGAAGGCGCUAUGCGUUGUAAACUUCUUUUGAACGGGAGAAAACCCACCUACGUGUAGGUGGCUGAUAGUACCGUUAGAAUAAGGAUCGGCUAACUCCGUGCCAGCAGCCGCGGUAAUACGGAGGAUCCAAGCGUUAUCCGGAUUCAUUGGGUUUAAAGGGUGCGUAGGCGGACUGAUAAGUCAGCGGUGAAAUCUCUCGGCUUAACCGAGAAACUGCCGUUGAUACUGUCAGUCUUGAGUACAGAUGAUGUGGGCGGAAUAUGACAUGUAGUGGUGAAAUACUUAGAUAUGUCAUAGAACACCGAUUGCGAAGGCAGCUCACAAAACUGUCACUGACGCUGAGGCACGAAAGCGUGGGGAUCAAACAGGAUUAGAUACCCUGGUAGUCCACGCCCNUAACGAUGAUUACUCGAUGUUGGCGAUACACCGUCCAGCGUCCAAGCGAAAGCGUUAAGUAAUC
rnacentral:rRNA from 1 species